CGAGAGAGUUGAAAGACUCGACAACCCUUUGUGAACCUACCUGAAUAGUUGCUUCGGCGGGCAGCCCCAGGGCGGGGCCGCCGCCUCCCCUCGCGGGAGGUGCCCGCCAGAGGCCCAAGACUCUUAUGUUUCUAGUGGUACUCUGAGUUACAAAAACAAAAUAAAUCA
rnacentral:misc_RNA from 1 species